rnacentral:rRNA from 1 species
GUGCCAGCAGCCGCGGUAAUACGUAGGGGGCAAGCGUUGUCCGGAAUCAUUGGGCGUAAAGCGCGCGUAGGCGGCCCGGUAAGUCCGCUGUGAAAGUCAAAGGCUCAACCUUUGAAUGUCAGCGGAUACUGCCGGGCUAGAGUCCGGAAGAGGCGAGUGGAACUCCUGGUGUAGCGGUGGAAUGCGCAGAUAUCAGGAAGAACACCAACGGCGAAGGCAGCUCGCUGGGACGGAACUGACGCUGAGGCGCGAAAGCGUGGGGAGCGAACAGGAUUAGAUACCCUGGUAGUCC